UAGGGAAUCUUCCACAAUGGACGCAAGUCUGAUGGAGCAACGCCGCGUGAGUGAAGAAGGCUUUCGGGUCGUAAAACUCUGUUAUUGAAGAAGAACGUGCGUGACAGUAACUGGUCAUGCAGUGACGGUAUUCAAUCAGAAAGUCACGGCUAACUACGUGCCAGCAGCCGCGGUAAUACGUAGGUGGCAAGCGUUGUCCGGAUUUAUUGGGCGUAAAGCGAGUGCAGGCGGUCUUUUAAGUCUGAUGUGAAAGCCUUCGGCUUAACCGAAGAAGGGCAUCGGAAACUGGGAGACUUGAGUGCAGAAGAGGAGAGUGGAACUCCAUGUGUAGCGGUGAAAUGCGUAGAUAUAUGGAAGAACACCAGUGGCGAAGGCGGCUCUCUGGUCUGUAACUGACGCUGAGGCUCGAAAGCGUGGGUAGCAAACAGGAUUAGAUACCCUGGUAGUCCAUGCCGUAAACGAUGAAUACUAAGUGUUGGAGGGUUUCCGCCCUUCAGUGCUGCAGCUAACGCAUUAAGUAUUCCGCCUGGGGAGUACGACCGCAAGGUUGAAAC
rnacentral:rRNA from 1 species